GAUGAACGCUGGCGGCGUGCUUAACACAUGCAAGUCGAACGGAAAGGCCGAAGCUUGCUUCGGUACUCGAGUGGCGAACGGGUGAGUAACACGUGGGUGAUCUGCCCUGUACUUCGGGAUAGGCUUGGGAAACUGGGUCUAAUACCGGAUAUGACGAUCUCUUGGAUGGGGUUGUGGAAAGCUUUUGCGGUAUGGGAUGAGCUCGCGGCCUAUCAGCUUGUUGGUGGGGUAAUGGCCUACCAAGGCGUCGACGGGUAGCCGGCCUGAGAGGGUGUACGGCCACAUUGGGACUGAGAUACGGCCCAGACUCCUACGGGAGGCAGCAGGGGGGAAUAUUGCACAAUGGGCGCAAGCCUGAUGCAGCGACGCCGCGUGGGGGAUGACGGCCUUCGGGUUGUAAACUCCUUUCGCAAUCGACGAAGCCUUUUGGUGACGGUAGGUUGAGAAGAAGCACCGGCUAACUACGUG
rnacentral:rRNA from 1 species